UACGUAGGGGGCGAGCGUUGUCCGGAGUUACUGGGCGUAAAGGGCAUGCAGGCGGUCCGACACGUUUUGUGUGACAGCGGGUGGCUUAACUACCCGAGGAUACGAAAGACGGUUGGACUUGAGGACUCGAGAGGGACACGGAAUUCCGGGUGGAGUGGUGAAAUGCGUAGAGAGUCCGGAGGAACACCGAAGGCGAAGGCAGUGUCCUGGCGAGUGACUGACGCUGAGGUGCGAAAGCCAGGGGAGCGAACGGG
rnacentral:rRNA from 1 species